rnacentral:lncRNA from 1 species
GAACUAGUUAUUUAUUACUGUUUGUCAUGUUUUAACUGAUUCAUUGGUUUUACAAUUUCGAAUGCAUGAUCAUACACUAAAAUUGGUAUGAUGAUUCGAUUGUGUUUCCUUGAUGCACGUAUAGCAUGUUUUGCGUGAUUUACAGUAAAUUGUAAAACUGAAAAUUAAAAGUAAACAGAAAAUCGCUUGAUUAAGUGAAUGGAUGAAUGGUAGCCUUACUGGAUAUCCUGGGAGAUGGUGGACGGAUCGGGUACAUAGGGAACCCUGCCGUGAACAUCGUCUCAUACCGGAUGG